CGCACCCGCGGGCCGCCCGCCGAGGGGACCGGGGAACCACAGUGGGGCUCACGCUCCCGUGGGGCGCAGGGCCUUUUCUCAACACCCCGCCCGACAGCUAACCCGGUUGGCGAAGAGAAGAUAU
rnacentral:sRNA from 1 species